UGAAGAGAAAGUGAGGAAGAUUGCUACUGAACAUCACACGGAAGAUAUUGAAAAUGCGGGGUGUCCUAAUUCCCCAUCUCCUAUCCAUUCGGAUACUGAAAUCGAGGAGGCAACGCCAAGUCUUCCAUCACCUCAACAACCAAGUGCACAUGUCUUUUCAGGUGAUCCAGCGAAAAGAACUCCUAUUUCAGAGUAUGAUUUUAAUGAUCAAGAUAGUGUUCGGAGAAGAUAUAUUGCAAAAACAGCAUGUCGUCCAUAUGGACAUGCUUUUGAAGUUAGGAAAAUCUAUGGUAAAAACCGACACUUUAGUUUUGUUUGGUUUGAAAAGUAUAGUUGGCUAGAAUAUAGUGUCUCAAA